GUGAACACAUCUGCCUGCACGAAACUGUUGUUCACUAUCGAUUUCGGGCAUUAUUUUGUAGUAGUGUUUCACGUUUAUAGUUGAUUGUCUAGCUCCGCGUUUAUCACCGGCCACUUCGUACGUCGGUUAAGUGUUGGAACGUAUUCUUUCAACCAACGGCCCCACAUUGUUUCUGCAAGAACCACUGUUCGUUGGUAGCUACUACGCAGGGUUACAGCGAAUCCCGGUAACGAUCGCAAAUUAUCUUUUCAUUCACUCCAUCCGAGUCGCCUAAAAGAAAAUGAUUCGAAAUUAAUGCUUCCUUAUCUGACGACGUUUGGGGCAUAUAUGUUAGUGGGUGAGAGUUUAUCAAGCUUUCUACUUCGAUCAGAACCGUUUUCAAUAUCUCAUUGUUCAACCUUCUGCCAUCAUACAACGCUUUCAAUCCUUCUUUAACACUUUGUACCAAACGUUCCCAUGCUCCACCUAUAUGUGGCGCCGAUGGAGGAUUGAAAGACCACGUAGUCUCGUUGCUGGCCCCUUGGAAGUUCGUUCCCUGGUCUGAAAAUAUUUCAGCCGGUGGUCCUCUUCGACAAACGAAUCUUCUGAUGGCUAUUAUGCACAAUUCCGUACACAGGGUGUGUGCAACCUCUAGAUGAACCACUCGGGUCACUAAGCAGGUGAAGACAGCCACAAACCGCUUUUUAUUUCGUCGUGCAUUACUGAUAUCUAUUGGACCGAGGUAAUCCACUCAUAUGUUGCUGAAUGGACGUGUAGAACGGUGUAAGUCGUUACGCUGGUAGUUGAGCUAUUGGAGGACUUUGUGACUUACACUUUCGAAAUUUGCAGCGUUAGCAGAAUCUGAUCACUUUGUCGACAGCUGUUCGUAAA